rnacentral:piRNA from 1 species
UCUAGUCAGCCUGACAAGGUGUGAGUAGU